rnacentral:tRNA from 1 species
GAAGGUAUAGCUCAGUGGUAGAGCGCAUGCUUAGCAUACACAAGGUCCUGGGUUCAAUCCCCAGGACCUCUA